rnacentral:lncRNA from 1 species
GACAGCUCCUUGGUGACAGCCCCUACCUCUGUCAGUCCAUCCAGCCCCACACUCCACACCUGAUCUACAUUUCCUCUGUACCAUCUUCCAGGAGGGUGGUCCAAAGAGCCCACCAGCCAGAAUACAGACGUGAGCAGGACUUCAUGAUACACUGGAAUGCUGUGUCAGUGUUGGCUUUAGCCACAUGAUUUCAGGAGCAGAGAGAAGCCAUCCACCUCCUUUGCCUUGCUCAGGAAUGCAUCAGGUGCUCUUCCAAGAGAAAGCCCUCCUAAUCCACUCCUAUGGCUCCCUGAGUAUAAAAUAAGCUAUACAAGUU